CCAGCUCCAAUAGCGUAUAUUAAAAUUGCUGCAGUUAAAAAGCUCGUAGUUGGAUUUCUGGUGUGGUGCGCCGAGCCCGCCCCUUCUUGGGGUGAGUGCUUGCGCGUGCCUACCAUACUUCUGGGUAGUGCGUUCGCCCUUCACGGGGAAUGAGCGCGCCAUCCAGAUCUUUUACUUUGAAAAAAUUAGAGUGUUUAAAGCAGGCGUUUGCUAUGAAUACAUUAGCAUGGAAUAAUAAGAUAGGACUUUGGUUCUAUUUUGUUGGUUUCUAGGACUGAAGUAAUGAUUGAUAGGGACAGUUGGGGGUGCUAGUAUUUAACGGCCAGAGGUGAAAUUCUUGGAUUCGUUAAAGACUAACUUAUGCGAAAGCAUUCACCAAGGAUGUCUUCUUUAAUCAAGAAUGAAAGUUGGGGGAUCGAAGACGAUCAGAUACCGUCGUAGUCUCAACUAUAAACUAUACCGACUAGGGAUGAGUGAACGUUGCAUUAUCGACUUCAUUCGCACCUUAUGAGAAAUCAAAGUCUUCGGGUUCUGGGGGGAGUAUGGUCGCAAGGCUGAAACUUAAAGGAAUUGACGGAAGGGCACCACCAGGAGUGGAGCCUGCGGCUUAAUUCGACUCAAC
rnacentral:rRNA from 1 species